rnacentral:rRNA from 1 species
UACGUAGGGUGCAAGCGUUGUCCGGAAUUAUUGGGCGUAAAGAGCUCGUAGGCGGUUUGUCGCGUCUGCUGUGAAAACUCGGGGCUUAACUCCGGGCCUGCAGUGGGUACGGGCAGACUAGAGUGCGGUAGGGGAGACUGGAAUUCCUGGUGUAGCGGUGAAAUGCGCAGAUAUCAGGAGGAACACCGGUGGCGAAGGCGGCAUCCUGGACCGGCAUUGACGCUGAGGCGCGAAAGCUAGGGGAGCAAACGGG